rnacentral:rRNA from 1 species
GGUAGUCUCGCACAGAUGCAUAUCAAUAAGCGGAGGAAAAGAAACUAACAAGGAUUCCCCUAGUAACGGCGAGUGAAGCGGGAAGAGCUCAAAUUUGAAAUCUUAAAGGGUUUCCCUUUACGAAUUGUAGUUUAAAGAAGUGUUUUCUGUUGAGGUUUUGGUAAAAGUUCUUUGGAAUAGGACAUCAUAGAGGGUGAGAAUCCCGUAUUUGACCUUUACUUUCAACUUUGUGAUACACUUUCAAAGAGUCGGAUUGUUUGGGAAUGCAGUCCAAAAUGGGUGGUAAAUUUCAUCUAAAGCUAAAUAUUGGCGAGAGACCGAUAGCGAACAAGUACCGUGAGGGAAAGAUGAAAAGAACUUUGAAAAGAGAGUUAAACAGUACGUGAAAUUGUCAAAAGGGAAGCGUUUGGACACCAGUGUUGUUUUUCUGAAAAUCAAUUAAAGAACUGUUUAUGCUAAGCUGUUUAGACUUUAUCAGCUAUCUGUUUAGUUUUGAGCUUUUCUUUAAUGCACUUUUCAGUUAACAAGUCAACAUCAAUUUCUUUUGCUGUAAGAAAGCUUGAGGAAGGUGGCUUGAGAUCGUCUUAAGUGUUUAUAGCCUCUUGCCUAUGCAGUCGGAGAGAUUGAGGUCUGCAGCGUAGAUCCUUCGGGGCUAAAUGCAUUUGUGCUAAGUUAUAACAUUUUAUAGACAACUUGUUGACUAUGAUUUGUCUUGUAGCUUACUCGCUUAUGUUAUUUUACCUACGCUUAGGAUGUUGAUCUGUAGUGCGUGCGC